CAGGUGCGAAAGCAGGUCAUAGUGAUCCGGUGGUUCUGUAUGGAAGGGCCAUCGCUCAACGGAUAAAAGGUACUCCGGGGAUAACAGGCUGAUACCGCCCAAGAGUUCAUAUCGACGGCGGUGUUUGGCACCUCGAUGUCGGCUCAUCACAUCCUGGGGCUGAAGUAGGUCCCAAGGGUAUGGCUGUUCGCCAUUUAAAGUGGUACGCGAGCUGGGUUUA
rnacentral:rRNA from 1 species